AUUGAACGCUGGCGGCAGGCCUAACACAUGCAAGUCGAGCGGAUGAAGGGAGCUUGCUCCUGGAUUCAGCGGCGGACGGGUGAGUAAUGCCUAGGAAUCUGCCUGGUAGUGGGGGAUAACGUCCGGAAACGGGCGCUAAUACCGCAUACGUCCUGAGGGAGAAAGUGGGGGAUCUUCGGACCUCACGCUAUCAGAUGAGCCUAGGUCGGAUUAGCUAGUUGGUGGGGUAAAGGCCUACCAAGGCGACGAUCCGUAACUGGUCUGAGAGGAUGAUCAGUCACACUGGAACUGAGACACGGUCCAGACUCAUACGGGAGGCAGCAGUGGGGAAUAUUGGACAAGGGGCGAAAGCCUGAUCCAGCCGUGCCGCGUGUGUGAAGAAGGUCUUCGGAUUGUAAAGCACUUUAAGUUGGGAGGAAGGGCAGUAAGUUAAUACCUUGCUGUUUUGACGUUACCAACAGAAUAAGCACCGGCUAACUUCGUG
rnacentral:rRNA from 1 species